UGAAAAGAGGAUGCUCAUUGCUUCCAUGUAGUUUAGCUUUCUUAGUCUUUGGAGUAUGUCCAGCUUUGUUGUUAGUGAAUGGAUUUGUUCUGAAGACAUUGUGUGUCCAUCACAGAGCUGUGAGGAAGAGAAUCUACAAAAACAAGAAGUCUUCAAAAUAGGAAUGAAAGACUUUCACUGGACAUCAUUCCCAGCCUUUCAGAAAGAACAAAAUUUUAAACCAGAAGAUUUUGCUCCCCUCAGCUAAUAGGAACACAAAUGGAGCAUUUACAUGAAGAAUGGGACCAAGCAGAUGAACUGAAAAGUUUACCUUCUACAUCUGAGCAAACACGCAGUAAAACAGAUCCCAAAAACAUGGCUGGGGAAGACACAGGAGGUAUUUCCAAGGCAGAUGUAGAUCUCAAACCAUUUAAAGACACUCAGCAUAAAACUUCUACAUGCCACCUGGCAUUGUCACAAAGAACUGUAAAAGCUCUAAGUAUUCAACAGCAUUGCAGAGGGACUGUGCAGAACAGCAAGGAGAAGAAAAAACAAGAGAAAAGAGAGCUUCAAACACAAAUGCAUCAAAGCAGUAUUUCGUUUGGUGAGACCAGAAGCAUGCCUGCGGAAAGGAAACCUCCUCUGAUGAGCAUGGCUGGAAAUGAGAGCUGCAAGGAGAAUCCUGUACAGCAGAGUGAAGGGUCUUCAACUCUUGACAGCUGCCCAAUGUGUCUGAUUCGUUUCAGUGAAACGCUGUCACAAUUGGAUAUCGAUGGCCAUCUUGCUAGAUGCUUAUCUGAAAGCACAGAUGAUAUCACGUGGUAAAUCCAAAAUAACGGCGAGCAAAGGGACAAAGUUGAGUAUGAACCUUUCUCAAAGGAAAAGGAAAAAUGUGUCAGGGAAACAUGUCCUUGUCUCAAACUUCCUGAAAUGUCAUAGAUCGGGAACUGAAAGGGAAGGUCAAGUGCCACCUGCCUGUUGUUUGGGAUCAUUUUAAAUCCUCUCGUACGUAACCAAAAUAGCUGAGACAAGCACAUACAACUGCCUUCACAGAAUGUGAAAAAGAGCACAACAAAGCAGUAUCUGAAGUUCUCUGUCUCAGCAAACCCUUUUUCUGGACCUCAAGAGCCUGCAGGACAGAUGUGAGUCAAGUACAUGGAAUAAACAGACUACGGUAUUGAAAUACAGGCAUAAUUCUGUAGGUUUUUUAAUUUACAAUAAGGUCGCUUUAAAAAGUGCAAGUUGGACAUAGC
rnacentral:lncRNA from 1 species